ACAAGAUUCCACUCUCUAGGCAACUGCCUGCGGUCGUCAGCCUCUGACUCUCAGAGUCAGGGGCUCCAGGCUCUCCCCCGGAGCCCACUGUUUGUCUUUGACUCAGGGGGAGGUAAUUACAGACUCCUGCUCUCUAAGCCAAACCUUAGCGCCUCUGCAAAUCUCCCCUUUGUUUAAAGUCUCUGCAGAAGAGGCAAAGGGCAGUUGAUCUCCAUGGAAACAGCAGCAUCUUCCAGGAGGUCGGGUUUAAAGCCACAUAGAUCUUAGCCCUGGAUUUAAACAAGCAUCUCUUUACUCUCACUUAGACCUGACCCUGCUCCAUUCAAGUCAAGGAGAGUUUUGCCCUUUGUUUCAGUGAGGGCAGGACUGAGGCCUCAAGAAGCAGGAUUCGAUACAGAUAAUCUGUGAACGUUUAGCAGGAAAGGGGGACUACUGCUCCGAGCCUGGGGGUUGGCCCACCUCAGCCCACUAGACUCCUACGUUUGAGCUCCAGGAAUGGUGGCUUACCCUUUAAUUCCCCAAGGAGGUGACUGCGAUUCUUUGUUCCAUUGCAUCAUUCAUCAUCGCCUGGCGAUGGAGAUAGAGCCACUGAUACGUGCAAAUCCUCCUGGACUCACUCUGGCAGUGACACUAGACUGAGGGAGCCAGGAGCUCUUUCCACUCUGAAGUGUGUGGCUACAGGCUUACGCAUGCACAGAGGGUCCUGCAGGACGGGGCCCGAGCUGCUUAACUCCUACCCUCCUCCGGCUGCAGGUUCUGAUUCCACUGGGGAAAUGGAAGUGGCAGACCCACCCCCUGUCAAUCAACCCCUGUGCUUCCCAGAGACAAAGGGUUAACUCCCCGUUCAGCUCUCCCAGGCGGUGGAAGUCCCAGUGGGGCAAGGACCUAGCCAUCCAGUAGUCAGCAGGGGCAGAACCAUGGAGUUGGUAGAGCUACUGGAAGGUCAGGCUGUUUGCAUCUUUCAUUCUAUGUUCAAAUACCAGGAGUUUUGACCAGCCAAAGCUAUUUCAUUGCCCACUCCACAGCUUCAUCUCCUCUGUCCACACCAGAAGCCUCAUGACCGCGCUCCCUAGCUCGGCUGGCAAGUCUGCACCGGCCUGCACAUCCUCCCUGACACCUUUGCCACAGCGGCCUGUUGUCCACGUUACCGAUGGAAGAAUCAAAACACUGAUACCCGGGGACCAGCUGAGCUGAGAGGAGCCGAGCCAUCGUAGGCUGGCGUGCAUGGCCCUCGGGAGAGCGCGUUGUGGAACACUCUGUAUAGUGCUGCUUCUGCGAUACACACAACCGUGAGCCUUUCGCAUCUUCGUUAAGGCAGAACGGGGCCUGGUUAUGUCUCUUGAUGGCUCAGGGCUCCUCAGUCCAAGGCCAACGAACCAGCCCGUUACCCGGACAGCCAUGUCCGCUGGGAAGUUGUAGCCUGCUUCCCUUCCAGACUAGGAGUCUACGUGCCACUGCUGGAGCUUCUGACUGCAGAUGGUGGAGCGAGCCAGGGAUGUUUAGAUCAAGGGGUAGGCCAAGUUUUGUGGUCUCACAAAGAUUUCUCACCACCCUGAGUAGCAGAUAUCCCAGGAGAUCAGCUCCUGGGAGACGACCACGAUCUUGAGCUGGAUCCGGAAAACAGGCCCCUUCUGUGUUUGGGCUCACCUCGGAACCAGCAUGGGUUCACGCCUGGCCUCCAGCCCCAAAGCACGUGUGGUGUCAAGACAGAGUUGGGCUGGAGGUUCCCAGUCACUCUACUCCUCACCAGUAACUGGUCCCAGAGCCUCCCAACUUCAAGGUGCCCACUGGAGCCAAUGGCAGAACUCUCCUUGACUUGAAGGGGUCGGGAUUACAACGUGCUGGGUCCUGAUGUUCCACCAAGGACAUUCCCCGUUCUAGCCCACACAAUCCCACAAUGCAGACUGAGACGUGGGCCUGGCAAAGGGGGACGGCUCCCCCGAAAUAAAUCACAUGCAUAAAUCCA